UACGUAGGGUGCAAGCGUUAUUCGGAAUUACUGGGCGUAAAGCGUGCGCAGGCGGUUUUGUAAGUCUGUCGUGAAAUCCCCGGGCUCAACCUGGGAAUGGCGAUGGAGACUGCAAGGCUGGAAUCUGGCAGAGGGGGGUAGAAUUCCACGUGUAGCAGUGAAAUGCGUAGAGAUGUGGAGGAACACCGAUGGCGAAGGCAGCCCCCUGGGCUAAGAUUGACGCUCAUGCACGAAAGCGUGGGGAGCAAACAGG
rnacentral:rRNA from 1 species